rnacentral:rRNA from 1 species
UACGGAGGGUGCAAGCGUUAAUCGGAAUUACUGGGCGUAAAGCGUGCGUAGGCGGUUCGUUAAGUCUGUUGUGAAAGCCCCGGGCUCAACCUGGGAAUGGCAAUGGAUACUGGCGAGCUAGAGUGUGUCAGAGGAUGGUGGAAUUCCCGGUGUAGCGGUGAAAUGCGUAGAGAUCGGGAGGAACAUCAGUGGCGAAAGCGGCUUCCUGGUCCAGCACCGACAUUCAGGCACGAAAGCGUGGGGAGCAAACAGG